rnacentral:rRNA from 1 species
CAAUGGAGGAAACUCUGAUGCAUUGAUGCCGCGUGAGUGAAGAAGGCCUUGGGUUGUAAAGCUCUUUUGUAGGGGAAGAUAAUGACUGUACCCUAAGAAUAAGGUCCGGCUAACUUCGUGCCAGCAGCCGCGGUAAUACGAAGGGACCUAGCGUAGUUCGGAAUUACUGGGCGUAAAGCGCGCGUAGGCCGUUGAGUUAGUUAAUUGUGAAAUCCCAAAGCUUAACUUUGGAACUGCAAUUAAAACUGCUCGACUAGAGUUUGAUAGAGGAAAGCGGAAUACAUAGUGUAGAGGUGAAAUUCGUAGAUAUUAUGUAGAACACCAGUUGCGAAGGCGGCUUUCUGGGUCAACACUGACGCUGAGGCGCGAAAGUAUGGGUAGCAAAGAGGAUUAGAUACCCUCGUAGUCCAUACCAUAAACGAUGAUUGCUAGAUGUUGGAAAUUUAUUUUCAGUAUCGCAGCUAACGCAUUAAGCAAUCCGCCUGGGGAGUACGACCGCAAGGUUAAAACUCAAAUGAAUUGACGGGGACCCGCACAAGCGGUGGAGCAUGUGGUUUAAUUCGAAGAUACGCGCAGAACCUUACCAACCCUUGACAUGUCUGUCGCGAGUUUAGGAAACUAGACUUUUCGGUUCGGCC